rnacentral:rRNA from 15 species
AACUUUCAACAAUGGAUCUCUUGGCUCUGGCAUCGAUGAAGAACGCAGCGAAAUGCGAUAAGUAGUGUGAAUUGCAGAAUUCAGUGAAUCAUCGAAUCUUUGAACGCACAUUGCGCCCCUUGGUAUUCCAUGGGGCAUGCCUGUUCGAGCGUCAUCU